AACCUGUGAUGAGGACACUUGAGUAGAAGUUCCUUAAAUAGUUCAUGUGCCUCAAAGAUUGUUUCAGAGUCCCCUUGCCUGAAGGAUGAAAUCUCCUAUCUCAGUCU